GAAACUCAUGCCAUCUACUACGAAUCAAGUAUAGAAUUAUGCACAAGAGUGAAGACUCCAUAAUAGCAGUGGAGCCAUACAAGAGCUUGGCUAUUGACCCUGACAUCUACGUACUAUAGAGCGGUUCAGACACCCUCUUAUGUAUACUCGAUGGUGGUUGGAGCCAUGCCUGUCUCAUUGACCAAAUUCUUGUAUGAUCAAACCAGUUUGAAUCGAUACGGACUCCACAAACUCAAGUAUAGCCAUCCGUCUGAUUUUAGCAUCAGGUGUUUUGAUGGAGGAAAGAUCGGCGUCCACAAAGCUGUCCUAUUCUCUACAUGGUCCUUCUUCAAGGCCAUGCGGGACGCUAACAUGAAAGAGUCGUCCGCCAGCCAGCUUGAAUUGGAUCUUCCGAAGUCAACUGUUGGGUGCAUAGAUGAUCAAGUAUCUCUACGGAGAGAAGUUGGAUAAGUCUGUCAUGUCUGUCAUGUCUGUCAAAGACGUCUCAGAACUGCUUGUAGUGACCCAGACAUACGAGUUACCUGAGCUUGUGAAGCUGGCGGAGGAGUGUCGGAAGAGCAUUAUUAGAUAUCUGAAGAGUCUCACGAGUUCGGGGAAGCAAGGUGUAUCUGGCGAAAUUCCGACGAGGCCAAGAACGACAAGGUCAGGAAAUUCUCAGCAAACGCGAUUACGGAAAUGGAGCCCGGUAUGGUCAAUUUUGCUGGGGUGGAGGAAACGUAUCAUGAGGAGCUGAUGCUUCUUAUACAAGACGCUUCUGUUUGUGUGAGACGGAAUAGAUGAGGGUGGAGUGACUUUUCCCGACCUGGAUGUCUCAAAAAGAGAGAGCCGAGAGAUUCCUUUGAUCUGAGUACAUCUGGUUAGUACAGGCACUGUCUCUUCUUACAAGUAUGGGAGGAUUGCACAUUUCGUAGCUGGACUCACAGCUGUGAAGUUUGUUUCGAUGAGUAUUGGUUCUUGGGAGAGUAUUCCAUACGACUGCUGGAGAGUGGAAGUCUGGCUGUAAGUAUGGUAUUGUACUGUACUGUACUGUACUGUACUUGUAAGUGGACCUUCAACGUUUGGUUUCGUCAAGUGUGGUGUUUUCACUGACCUCCCUCUCUUGUCCCAUACACAUUCGGUUUUUCCAGCAUAACUCGACAGCAUAUGAAACACCCAACAUGACUCACAAAACACGACUCAAGUGCGUAGCUGGCCCAGAUUCGGCGAUGAAACCCAACCCAUAGAUCAGAUCAUCGACCACCAGGUGAUAAUCAUCGUUUUCACGCUCAUCAGGGCUCAAUUGAGUCUGGAUAAGUAUGGACAUGUGACAGCACACUUGCGUCGGACCCACUUCUGACCAACUUGCUCCGUUAAUUUCUCGGUUGGUAGUUAAUUGCCUCUGCAUUCUAGAGGUUUCCGCCUCUCUCCCAGAACAAUGGUCCGCUGCAUUCCAAUGGCCCUCUCGUCUCCACAUCACCUCCACCGAACCUACUGGAAGGGUGUAGAACAAGUUGUGCAUGUGAGCUGCAAUACGAGUUAGUUUCUGAUGCCCUCAAUUGUCUUGAUCUGAGGCGUGCCAACGUGAAUGAUGGGCGUAAAAUGGGCGUACAGAUGGAAAUCUGAGGCGUUUUAGGACUGUUCUAGUGUAUACACGAUCUACUAAACACUCUCAGAAACCCCCAUUCUGUGCUUGACCGUCUCAACCACCGUUUGCUCAGCAGGUGGUUGUGCACGUCCGCCUCAUACGCCUUUGUCUCAGACGAUCGUAAUCGAUAGUUACCUGGUAGCAAGUGGACGCGGGAGAGCCGUGUGUUUGUGCCACCUUGCACUCAAUGCCCGUUGUCUGUGCGACGAACUUUUGCAACGGUGGCAAUUGAGUCAUUUGCUCCGUCAAAAUAUCUGUUUCUGGCACUUGUUCUGGUGGCGGACUCGGAGCAUGCCCCUCACAUCUUCUGGAAGGUUCGAUGGCAAAAAAAGCUUCGAUGACGACAAGUGUGAGUGGGAGUGUGAGGUGGAAGGUCUAAGGUGUGGAGUUGUAGGCAGGAAGGCAGCAGGC
rnacentral:misc_RNA from 1 species